AACGAACGCUGGCGGCAUGCCUAACACAUGCAAGUCGAACGAAGGCUUCGGCCUUAGUGGCGCACGGGUGCGUAACGCGUGGGAAUCUGCCCUUGGGUUCGGAAUAACUCAGAGAAAUUUGAGCUAAUACCGAAUGAUGUCGAAAGACCAAAGAUUUAUCGCCCAGGGAUGAGCCCGCGUAGGAUUAGCUUGUUGGUGAGGUAAAGGCUCACCAAGGCGACGAUCCUUAGCUGGUCUGAGAGGAUGAUCAGCCACACUGGGACUGAGACACGGCCCAGACUCCUACGGGAGGCAGCAGUGGGGAAUAUUGGACAAUGGGCGAAAGCCUGAUCCAGCAAUGCCGCGUGAGUGAUGAAGGCCUUAGGGUUGUAAAGCUCUUUUACCAGGGAUGAUAAUGACAGUACCUGGAGAAUAAGCUCCGGCUAACUCCGUGCCAGCAGCCGCGGUAAAGUCUGUACU
rnacentral:rRNA from 1 species